UUUUCCUGCAUUUACAUUUUUAUGUGCUUUCAUUGGUCAUGUUCUGUGUGUUUUGGGCUGACCCAAUGCAUUUCAGUUAAUCUAUAUGUACCGUUGUUUGUUAUUUUAUAUACUUUCAUGCAUUUUCUAUGCCUGAUCUGUUUCCUAUGUUCUUUCCAUUUGUGUUGCAGAUCAUGUCACUCUUCCACUGUCUUGUUGGUUCAUGUACUGUUGUUCGUUGCCAAAGUUUGUGCUUCCUCUUUUCAGUUCUAUUUUCUUUGGAUUCUGAGAUGCAUAAUGAUUGAAUGUGUUUAAGUUUGUCCGUUUCUGCCAUGUGUUUUGGGUGACUAUGUACAGUUUAUCUAUUCUAUCUGGUGCAUCUUGUGCUAAACUUCUCGCUGGAUGUGCUCUAAUUGGCUAUCGCAUGUGUGCUCUAGCCUAAGCCAUUGCAUUUGAAGUUGUCACUUUCUGAAUUUUUCAUGUUCCUGCUUGCAUGCGCUGCGAUUGGUUAUAUGCAAGGAAGAAUGGUGUCCUGUUCUUUUUAUUUUUAUUUUUUCAGCCUCCACGUUCCCAAUAUUAAUUAGUCACUUGGUAGAAUUCUUAAUCUGUGUAUUUUCCAUGCCUGAGUUGUUCUUGCUUUGUUAUUUUCUUUUGUAUUACAGGUCUUGUUGUUGUGGCACUCUCUUGUCAUCACACGCGCUGCUGUUUUUGACUGCCAAGAUUUGUGCUGUAUAUAUUAUAGUUCAAAAGCUUUUCGUUAUGCUUCCUAUCUCGAAAAUAAGAAUAGCUCCAUGGGUGAGAAAGGGUGCUCCAGAAGGGCCAGAAAUUUGGCCAUUGUAAAUUUGGACCAACACACAUGAAUUUCAUCACCCAGAAGGGCCAGGACUUGGUGUUUUUUCAGAGACACCAAGCAUGUAUCCACCAGCGCAACAAUUGCAUGUCUCUUCCAGUUGGCAAUUGGGAAGGCUUUCUGUUCUACCAGGAUCAUUUUUCUCAGGCUCUUAUCCUCCAAAUUAUGCACCCAUCUAUAGUCAUGCCGAUGUAGUAAUGGAACCCUUACAUGGUAAGUUUCUAAUAUUGUAUUCCUUCUCAUUUUAAACGUUGUGCUACAAAUAGUAGGCCAUCGAACAAGGGUGUUUUAUAUUAAUCUAGACCAAAGUAUAAAAAAAUAAAUUUGUAGGGUCUGUUAUUAAUGAUACAACCUUUACUGUCUAAUUUCAGGAACUCACAAUGUAUGAGGAGCAUUGUGUUGUAAAACAAGAUUACAAAAAUGACCCAAAACAUGACUUUGUUCUUUUGUGCUAUGAAGAUUGUGAUGCAUUGUCAGAAAAAUAAAACCUGCUCUGAUGACUUCAUUCUCCUUUAUUUUCUUAGUCACCUAUGAACCAAGUUGUGUCAACUAGGGCACAACAAACUGUUCUUUUUUUAGAAGAGACAACAAACUGUUCAGGCAGGACCAUUUGGCGUAUCACACCGAGGGCCUCCAUCCGUAGUUGCUUAUGGUAGUAAUUAUGCAUCGUUGUCUUCUUCAACAUGGCCUUCAAGUGGCAAACAAGAAAUUGCCUGAUUUCUCAUGUUUUAAUUUAAGCUUUGUAGCCACUUUGAAGCUUGCUUGCUACAUAUUUGACAGUACCUACAUUAGAACCAAAUAUGUCUUAGUACAUCCAUUAGAACCAAAUAUGUUUUAGUUAAGUGAUGUUCCUGAGGCCUUGCUCAUACAUAUUCAUGUUUUAUUAUCAAUCUCUAAACUACUCUUGCAUGGUUUGAAUGCCUGGUUUUCUCUUGGUUUUUGCGUCAGGGGCGCAAAGGGUCAUACUCUGUCGCAUAUAAGAUAUGUUGCAGAUCACCUUAAUGAUGCAACUUAUAAUUAGAGAACAUUCUACAGGAACCAAACAAGUAUUAUUAGGGGUUGGAUGAUGGUAUGGAAGGCAUUUUUAUUUUUGGCAAUGGCAACCCACCAGACACACCCACCAUGAAGAGCUACUUAGAUGAUGAAGUCAUAUUCGAUACCGAUGGCAUCUGCAACGAUGACUACGUGAUAUUCAUCACUACUCACCACGAGCUAAAUGAUCGAAGCUGUCUAUAUGCAUAACCUAUGUGUAGCUUUCUUGAUAAACGUAGUAUAAAUAAGCUAUCGUAAUCUAAUCCCAUGCCUUUCUCAUAAUGCUAUAUAUCAAUUUCAUACGAAAAUAUCUAUUCUCUUAUGAUCCAAUCGGCAUCUAAAUAUUCUUACGUGCGUGGUUUGAAUGCUUGGUUUGUACAAUAUUUGUCCCCUUAUUUCCCUGAUCUUUUUAGUUUUAGUUUCUGUUGCCGCAGACAAGCAAUUCAAAUGCAGAGCUACAUCAAAGAUCCGCGUCAAAUAAUUAGGCCAAUAUAAAUAACAAAAUUUGGGCGUAGUGUCGUAGUCGCCUCCAUCCUGUAGCAUCUUAGCUCUUUGUACAUUUUGAUUGUUCAUUUUACUGGCUCCUUCAUUUUCGUCUGCUAGCUCAAUGAUUUGUCAUUGUUAUAAUUGGUUCCUUUCUGUCACUGCUGGUCUUGAACACAUACUGGUGGCAUCCGAUGGGACAAAUUCGACUGGUCUCUAUCCGAGAGGAGAGAUCCGGGGGAAUGUGUGUUGAGGCUCUCAUCAUGUUGGUACAUGGUGAAUGUUCCAUCAAGUUGUGGAUGGCUCUAAGGCAUGUGACACCAAUGAUAGAUACUCCUGCCGUGUCAUGAAGCUCAUUAAGUGCUACAAAAAUAUUUCACAGGGGUAAUUGUUUCUGUUCUUCACCAAUCUACCGUGUCAGAUGUUGUUUUAUUAUUGUUUGUUCUUCGUAGGCAUAGCCUAUUAAUUAUUCACUUGUCCGUAGGUAUGUAUCAUGGCUCUAAGUCACGCACAUGAGAUUUGAGACUUUUUUGGGGGCUAAUGAUAAAUAUUGUUGGUGAUAAGGAGUGUAUGCUUAUGUGCUGUACUUUUCAUUAUCCAAUAUAUGGAUAAUAUUUAUCAUUGUCAAAAGAGUGCACCUCGGGAUAAUGGUUAUGAAAUAUUUUUCCUAUAUUAUUAUGUACUUCAACCUUUUCAUAUUUCAAAGUGGUUGUGAGAAUGGCUAUGAAAUUGAAGAGGCGGCCAGAGGAGGUAGUGAGGGAGCUGCUCCUUCAUCCUCCCCUCCAUACUGUCGGUAAUACAUUAUUUUCUCUCAUAGAUUUAAAGUGAUUUUUUCUGUUGUUGCAAAGCAUGGGUAUUUAAAAAGCUGCAACCCAGUAACUUUGAUUUUCAUAGUCUACUCUGCCUUCUGCGUCUACCUUGUUGUAUAAGAGACCAGUCAGCACUAUGUAUACCAACAAUAACCACACACAUGAAUUCUGAUUUGUGCACAAGGAAGCUCACAAAUUUGUGUCCAUCUUUUUCGUAGUAAUCAUAUUGCUUGCAUAUUUUAUUAGACUGAUCAUAGUCACGAUGAUCAGACAGAUAAUAUUUGGUAGAGAAGAUUAGAAGAAACAUUUAUAUCAUAUUUUUGUAUGUUUUUUCUGUAGAAAAGGUACCAUGGGUUGAUUGUGUUGGAUCCCAUUACUAUAUGAUGUAUUUGACUGCUAUUCCUAAGAACUGCUCCUGGACACAGUGCUCUAUGUUGACAUGUCUUACAUUUUAUUGUGUCGCCUAUCUGUAUAGUUAUUCGGAUCUUACAUUUUUGUAUUUUUGUCGAUGCAGGUGUGUUCUUCCUACUAUAAAGCAACAUGGAUUUCUUUAAAUUAAAUUGUGCAUAUUAUGGAAAAUAAAUCUUGUGUGUCUAUAGUCAUGUUCAUGUAUGUUCUGAACUGAGACAAAUAUUCUUCAUUGUCUAUGCUUUUUCCUUCUGUUAAUGAUGAUAGUGCAGCUCUCCAUGUUAUUAAUUCCUUACCCAUUCACUUGAAAUAUUGCCUAAAUAUUAUUAUUUUUGUAGUUGGUUCAGCAGCCUGACUUAGAUCUUCUACAUUGCCCAUAGAGAAUCUUCAAAAGUGUAGUCAUAUAGAGAAUCUUCAAAAGUGUAGUCAUAUAUGUCACUUGAUAAAUUCCAGGACAUUAAUCUAUACUGCUCCUAUGCGUUUCAGCUGUCACAAAUCCAUGGUGAAAUAAACAGGAGAAUACAUGCUUGCAGAAGUUGUCAAGAGGCUCCAUUUAACCAUCAAAGACCAUGAGACCUACGAAUCCAGUGAUAGAGAUGGACACAAUCUCUCCUUGUGGAAGGACAAUGUAUCAAUUGCCAACAAAACCAAACAUUUCAUCCUAUCUUACCAUGUAGUACUAACUUAACUGCAAUGUAUCACCUGUGUCAAAAACUAUUUGAAUCGCGUAUUUGGCUAUCUAUGAUAUCAAACCUUUGUGUUCUUUCAAUAUCAUAUACACUCGAAAGCAAGGC
rnacentral:rRNA from 1 species